AUGGAUCAUCAAUUUUUAUUUUCAACAGAUAUGGAUAGAUUUAAGACUACCAGAUCCACCACUGAGAGGAAAGUUGUCAUUACCGCCUUUGUAAUAAGUAAUCAACCGCCUCUUCCUCCACAACAAAAUUUUGCUGAUCAUAUAGCGUUAAUUCCUUCACAUCCAGAACAAGUUCAUAUUUCACAAGUGGCAAGGCCAACUUCAACCGAUUUGGUAGAGACUCUGGUUUUGAUUCUAACUACACAACCGAAAAACCUUACCUAG